rnacentral:lncRNA from 1 species
UGACCCCUGGUUUCACCCACUUGGAGGGAGGAGAGGCACCCACUGCUGUCCGCCCAGUGGCUACGGCUCAUCCGCGCCUUCCCCUCCCCUCCCCCUAACCGGGGGUCUGGCCUGUGAGUCCCUCACUCAGCUGUGGGCCCCGACACCUGCAGGGUUGGUGGACUCACCCCCUCCCAUUUCUUGCCAGCUCCACCCUCAGGGAUCCGAGCAGGGGCCUGGCGGCCUCCCCGUUCACAGGCUCUGCUGAGACCCCGGCGGCUCCAGGUCAGGUGAGGGAAACAGCCCCCCCCCCCGGAAGGCAGAGUAGGGCGGGCCAGCCCCAGCGUGCACCACGCUCAGUGUGACCUUGCUCCCAGAGAAGCCACCAGGCGUGCAGGGCCUGGGUCUCCCCUGCUGUCCCCUCUCCUCCCCUCCCUCUGCUUCCCCCGCCCCUGCUGCUCCGCGGGCUGCAGGCCCAGGUGCUCGCUGGGUUCUGCCCUCUUAGCUCAGACCAGGCCCUGGGCUGGUGUCAAGCUGGGCUCCUGCCCUGGGCGGGGGGGCACCUUUCAGAGGUGGGCGGAGCCUCAGGUGACCUUGGCCCAGAUGGCCCCAGCCAGUGCCUUCACUCUCGAGAUCUGGGCAGGCCAUGCUGGCCCCUGAAGGCUGUUCUGCAGACCGGACUUUGCUCCUGUGAGUGAGGGAGGGAGCGACCAGACGGCCGAGAAAGGCAACGGAAAGACGGGCAGUGGCAGGCAGGCAGGGGCCGGCGACCAGGGCCACCCUGAUCUGUGCUCUCGAGGGCAGCGCAGGUCUACAUCUGGAAGGAAGCUCCCGAUCCCGGGCCUGGAUGGCUUUCAAAGGCGCCCUGCUCACCCCAAGGCAGCUUUCCUGAGGUGCAGCUCACCCGCUGCACGGGGCGCCGUCUGGAGUACAAUCCACUGGUUUGUAGUAUUUUCUCAGAGGUGUGCACCUGUCGCCACACUCACGUCUGGAGCGUUUUCAUCAUCCCCUAGAAGCCCUGAGCCUGUUCCCUGUGCCUCUGCUU